GUCGAGCGAACGGACGAGAAGCUUGCUUCUCUGAUGUUAGCGGCGGACGGGUGAGUAACACGUGGAUAACCUACCUAUAAGACUGGGAUAACUUCGGGAAACCGGAGCUAAUACCGGAUAAUAUUUUGAACCGCAUGGUUCAAAAGUGAAAGACGGUCUUGCUGUCACUUAUAGAUGGAUCCGCGCUGCAUUAGCUAGUUGGUAAGGUAACGGCUUACCAAGGCAACGAUGCAUAGCCGACCUGAGAGGGUGAUCGGCCACACUGGAACUGAGACACGGUCCAGACUCCUACGGGAGGCAGCAGUAGGGAAUCUUCCGCAAUGGGCGAAAGCCUGACGGAGCAACGCCGCGUGAGUGAUGAAGGUCUUCGGAUCGUAAAACUCUGUUAUUAGGGAAGAACAUAUGUGUAAGUAACUGUGCACAUCUUGACGGUACCUAAUCAGAAAGCCACGGCUAACUACGUGCCAGCAGCCGCGGUAAUACGUAGGUGGCAAGCGUUAUCCGGAAUUAUUGGGCGUAAAGCGCGCGUAGGGGUUUUUUAAGUCUGAUGUGAAAGCCCACGGCUCAACCGUGGAGGGUCAUUGGAAACUGGAAAACUUGAGUGCAGAAGAGGAAAGUGGAAUUCCAUGUGUAGCGGUGAAAUGCGCAGAGAUAUGGAGGAACACCAGUGGCGAAGGCGACUUUCUGGUCUGUAACUGACGCUGAUGUGCGA
rnacentral:rRNA from 1 species